rnacentral:rRNA from 1 species
UACGUAGGGUGCAAGCGUUGUCCGGAAUUAUUGGGCGUAAAGGGCUCGUAGGCGGUCCAUCGCGUCGGGAGUGAAAAGCUGGGGCUUAACCCCAGUCCUGCUUCCGAUACGGGUGGACUAGAGGUAGGUAGGGGAGAACGGAAUUCCUGGUGUAGCGGUGAAAUGCGCAGAUAUCAGGAGGAACACCGGUGGCGAAGGCGGUUCUCUAGUACGGUACUGACGCUGAGACGCGAAAGCGUGGGGAGCGAACAGG